CUAGAGACCGGCGCACGGGUGCGUAACGCGUAUGCAACUUGCCCUACUGAAAAGGAUAGCCCUUCGAAAGGAGGAUUAAUACUUUAUAACAGAUUUAAUGGCAUCAUUAGAUUUUGAAAGAUUUAUCGCAGUAGGAUAGGCAUGCGUAAGAUUAGUUAGUUGGUGAGGUAACGGCUCACCAAGACGAUGAUCUUUAGGGGGCCUGAGAGGGUGAACCCCCACACUGGUACUGAGACACGGACCAGACUCCUACGGGAGGCAGCAGUGAGGAAUAUUGGACAAUGGGUGGAAGCCUGAUCCAGCCAUCCCGCGUGUAGGAUGACGGCCUUAUGGGUUGUAAACUACUUUUAUCUGGGGAUAAACCUACUUACGUGUAAGUAGCUGAAGGUACCAGAAGAAUAAGCACCGGCUAACUCCGUGCCAGCAGCCGCGGUAAUACGGAGGGUGCAAGCGUUAUCCGGAUUUAUUGGGUUUAAAGGGUCCGUAGGCGGAUUAAUCAGUCAGUGGUGAAAUCUCAUAGCUUAACUAUGAAACUGCCAUUGAUACUGUUAGUCUUGAGUGAUGUUGAA
rnacentral:rRNA from 1 species